GGCUUAACACAUGCAAGUCGAGGGGCAUCAGGAAGAAAGCUUGCUUUCUUUGCUGGCGACCGGCGCACGGGUGAGUAACACGUAUCCAACCUGCCCUUUACUCGGGGAUAGCCUUUCGAAAGAAAGAUUAAUACCCGAUAGCAUAAUGAUUCCGCAUGGUUUCAUUAUUAAAGGAUUCCGGUAAAGGAUGGGGAUGCGUUCCAUUAGGUUGUUGGUGAGGUAACGGCCCACCAAGCCUUCGAUGGAUAGGGGUUCUGAGAGGAAGGUCCCCCACAUUGGAACUGAGACACGGUCCAAACUCCUACGGGAGGCAGCAGUGAGGAAUAUUGGUCAAUGGGCGCUAGCCUGAACCAGCCAAGUAGCGUGAAGGAUGAAGGCUCUAUGGGUCGUAAACUUCUUUUAUAUAAGAAUAAAGUGCAGUAUGUAUACUGUUUUGUAUGUAUUAUAUGAAUAAGGAUCGGCUAACUCCGUGCCAGCAGCCGCGGUAAUACGGAGGAUCCGAGCGUUAUCCGGAUUUAUUGGGUUUAAAGGGAGCGUAGGUGGACUGGUAAGUCAGUUGUGAAAGUUUGCGGCUCAACCGUAAAAUUGCAGUUGAUACUGUCAGUCUUGAGUACAGUAGAGGUGGGCGGAAUUCGUGGUGUAGCGGUGAAAUGCUUAGAUAUCACGAAGAACUCCGAUUGCGAAGGCAGCUCACUGGACUGCAACUGACACUGAUGCUCGAAAGUGUGGGUAUCAAACAGGAUUAGAUACCCUGGUAGUCCACACAGUAAACGAUGAAUACUCGCUGUUUGCGAUAUACAGUAAGCGGCCAAGCGAAAGCAUUAAGUAUUCCACCUGGGGAGUACGCCGGCAACGGUGAAACUCAAAGGAAUUGACGGGGGCCCGCACAAGCGGAGGAACAUGUGGUUUAAUUCGAUGAUACGCGAGGAACCUUACCCGGGCUUAAAUUGCAGUGGAAUGAUGUGGAAACAUGUCAGUGAGCAAUCGCCGCUGUGAAGGUGCUGCAUGGUUGUCGUCAGCUCGUGCCGUGAGGUGUCGGCUUAAGUGCCAUAACGAGCGCAACCCUUAUCUUUAGUUACUAACAGGUUAUGCUGAGGACUCUAGAGAGACUGCCGUCGUAAGAUGUGAGGAAGGUGGGGAUGACGUCAAAUCAGCACGGCCCUUACGUCCGGGGCUACACACGUGUUACAAUGGGGGGUACAGAAGGCAGCUAGCGGGUGACCGUAUGCUAAUCCCAAAAUCCUCUCUCAGUUCGGAUCGAAGUCUGCAACCCGACUUCGUGAAGCUGGAUUCGCUAGUAAUCGCGCAUCAGCCACGGCGCGGUGAAUACGUUCCCGGGCCUUGUACACACCGCCCGUCAAGCCAUGGGAGCCGGGGGUACCUGAAGUACGUAACCGCAAGGAUCGUCCUAGGGUAAAACUGGUGACUGGGGCUAAGUCAUAAC
rnacentral:rRNA from 1 species